rnacentral:rRNA from 1 species
UAGGGAAUAUUGGACAAUGGGCGCAAGCCUGAUCCAGCCAUGCCGCGUGAGUGAAGAAGGCCCUCGGGUUGUAAAGCUCUUUUGUCCGGAAAGAAAAGCUUUGGGUUAAUACCCCGAAGUCCUGACGGUACCGGAAGAAUAAGCACCGGCUAACUUGGUGCCAGCAGCCGCGGUAAUACGAAGGGUGCAAGCGUUACUCGGAAUUACUGGGCGUAAAGCGUGCGUAGGUGGUUCGUUAAGUCUGAUGUGAAAGCCCUGGGCUCAACCUGGGAAUGGCAUUGGAUACUGGCGGGCUAGAGUGCGGUAGAGGGCAGUGGAAUUCCCGGUGUAGCAGUGAAAUGCGUAGAGAUCGGGAGGAACAUCUGUGGCGAAGGCGACUGCCUGGACCAGCACUGACACUGAGGCACGAAAGCGUGGGGAGCAAACAGG